AGGGUUUGAUUCUGGCUCAGGAUAAACGCUGGCGGCGCACAUAAGACAUGCAAGUCGAACGGACUUAAUCUUAAUAUUUAUAUUGAGAAGCGGUUAGUGGCGGACUGGUGAGUAACGCGUAAGCAAUCUGCCUAUUAGAGGGGAAUAACAGUGAGAAAUCAUUGCUAAUACCGCAUAUGCCAUAAGAACCACAUGGUUCUAGUGGGAAAGGAGUAAUCCGCUAAUAGAUGAGCUUGCGUCUGAUUAGCUAGUUGGUGUGGUAACGGCAUACCAAGGCAACGAUCAGUAGCCGGACUGAGAGGUUGAACGGCCACAUUGGGACUGAGAUACGGCCCAG
rnacentral:rRNA from 1 species